UACGUAGGGGGGCAAGCGUUGUCCGGAAUCAUUGGGCGUAAAGAGCGUGUAGGCGGUCCGGUAAGUCGGCUGUGAAAGUCCAGGGCUCAAACCCUGGGAUGCCGGUCGAUACUGCCGGACUAGAGUUCGGAAGAGGCGAGUGGAAUUCCCGGUGUAGCGGUGAAAUGCGCAGAUAUCGGGAGGAACACCAAUGGCGAAGGCAGCUCGCUGGGACGUUACUGACGCUGAGACGCGAAAGCGUGGGGAGCAAACAGG
rnacentral:rRNA from 1 species